rnacentral:rRNA from 1 species
UACAGAGGUCUCAAGCGUUGUUCGGAUUCAUUGGGCGUAAAGGGUGCGUAGGCGGCGCGGUAAGUCGGGUGUGAAAUCUCGGAGCUUAACUCCGAAACCGCAUUCGAUACUGCCGUGCUUGAGGACUGGAGAGGAGACUGGAAUUUACGGUGUAGCGGUGAAAUGCGUAGAUAUCGUAAGGAAGAACAGGGGCGAAGGCGGGUCUAUGGAAAGUUCCUGACGCUGAGGCACGAAGGUCAGGGGAGAAAACGGG